ACCCUUACAGUGUUUGACAUGUUAUAAUUUCAUUAUAAAGUCGGUCUUAGUACCUUGGGGCA
rnacentral:tRNA from 1 species